GGACAGUCUUUUAGUAUUCAGCUUCAUCAUGGAGGGACACUUGCUGUUUGUCAUCCUCAUGUAUUCCUUUCAAAAGAUUCAAGUACAAGCUCUUCCUCAACCUAAACUGGAAGUGAAUUCAGCGAUGAUCACAG